rnacentral:rRNA from 1 species
UCGGGAAUUUUGGGCAAUGGGCGAAAGCCUGACCCGGCAACGCCGCGUGAAGGAUGAAGUAUUUCGGUAUGUAAACUUCGAAAGAAUAGGAAGAAUAAAUGACGGUACUAUUUGUAAGGUCCGGCUAACUACGUGCCAGCAGCCGCGGUAAUACGUAGGGACCAAGCGUUGUUCGGAUUUACUGGGCGUAAAGGGCGCGUAGGCGGUGUGUCAAGUCAGUUGUGAAAUCUCCGAGCUUAACUCGGAACGGUCAACUGAUACUGUCACACUAGAGUACAGAAGGGGCAAUCGGAAUUCUUGGUGUAGCGGUGAAAUGCGUAGAUAUCAAGAGGAACACCUGAGGCGAAGGCGGGUUGCUGGGCUGAUACUGACGCUGAGGCGCGAAAGCUAGGGUAGCAAACGGGAUUAGAUACCCACGUAGUCCCUGAGCGGGCUGGCAAGGCGCAU